rnacentral:misc_RNA from 1 species
GAUGAAGAACGUAGCAAAAUGCGAUACUUGGUGUGAAUUGCAGAAUCCCGUGAACCAUCGAGUUUUUGAACGCAAGUUGCGCCCGAAGCCUUUUGGCCGAGGGCACGUCUGCCUGGGCGUCACGCAUCGCGUCGCCCCCCACAACUCUCCGUAAAGGGAACUUGUGUUUUGGGGGCGGAUAUUGGUCUCCCGUGCUCAUGGCGUGGUUGGCCGAAAUAGGAGUCCCUCCGGUGGACGCACGAACUAGUGGUGGUCGUAAAAACCCUCGUCUUUUGUUUCGUGCCGUUAGUCGCGAGGGAAACUCUUUAAAAACCCAAAUGUGUCGUCUCUUGACGGCGCUUCGACCGCGACCCCAGGUCAGGCGGGACUACCCGCUGAAUUUAAGCAUAUCAAUAAGCGGAGGA